rnacentral:rRNA from 1 species
CAGUCGCCGCGGUAAUACGAGGGGGGCAAGCGUUGUUCGGAAUUAUUGGGCGUAAAGGGUGCGUAGGCGGCUUGACAAGUCUUGUGUGAAAUCUAUGGGCUCAACCCAUAGUCUGCACGGGAAACUGUCGGGCUUGAGAAUGGGAGAGGUGAGUGGAAUUUCCGGUGUAGCGGUGAAAUGCGUAGAUAUCGGAAGGAACACCUGUGGCGAAAGCGGCUCACUGGACCAUUUCUGACGCUGAUGCACGAAAGCUAGGGGAGCAAACAGGAUUAGAUACCCCAGUAGUCCCUGUCUCUUAUAU